rnacentral:rRNA from 1 species
UACGUAGGGUGCGAGCGUUAAUCGGAUUUACUGGGCGUAAAGCGUGCGCAGGCGGCCCGUUAAGACAGGUGUGAAAUCCCUGGGCUCAACCUAGGAAUUGCGCUUGUGACUGGCGGGCUCGAGUACGGUAGAGGGGGGUGGAAUUCCUGGUGUAGCAGUGAAAUGCGUAGAGAUCAGGAGGAACACCGAUGGCGAAGGCAGCCCCCUGGGCCUGUACUGACGCUGAGACGCGAAAGCGUGGGGAGCAAACAGG